rnacentral:rRNA from 1 species
UCCGACUCAGCGUGUCUCUAGCAUCUAAGUGUGAAGCCCCCUCGAGAUGAGAUUUCCCAUUCCUAUAUGGAAGUAAGACCCCUGAGAGAUGAUCAGGUAGAUAGGCUGGAAGUGGAAGUGCAGCGAUGCAUGGAGCGGACCAGUACUAAUCGGUCGAGGACUUAACCAA